rnacentral:rRNA from 1 species
AUUGAACGCUGGCGGCAGGCCUAACACAUGCAAGUCGAGCGAAUGAAGAGAGCUUGCUCUCUGAUUCAGCGGCGGACGGGUGAGUAAUGCCUAGGAAUCUGCCUGGUAGUGGGGGGCAACGUUUCGAAAGGAACGCUAAUACCGCAUACGUCCUACGGGAGAAAGUGGGGGAUCUUCGGACCUCACGCUAUCAGAUGAGCCUAGGUACGAUUAGCUAGUUGGUGAGGUAAAGGCUCACCAAGGCGACGAUCGUUAACUGGUCUGAGAGGAUGAUCAGUCACACUGGAACUGAGACACGGUCCAGACUCCUACGGGAGGCAGCAGUGGGGAAUAUUGGACAAUGGGCGAAAGCCUGAUCCAGCCAUGCCGCGUGUGUGAAGAAGGUCUUCGGAUUGUAAGGCACUUUAAGUUGGGAGGAAGGGCAGUAAGUUAAUACCUUGCUGUUUUGACGUUACCGACAGAAUAAGCACCGGCUAACUUCGUGCCAGCCGCCGCGGUAAAAC